rnacentral:rRNA from 1 species
UACAGAGGGGGCGAGCGUUAUUCGGAAUUAUUGGGCGUAAAGGGCGCGUAGGCGGCCGUGUAAGUCUCGGGUGAAAUCCCUCGGCUCAACCGAGGAACUGCCUUGGAUACUGCAUGCUUGAGGCCGGGAGAGGGUAGUGGAAUUCCCAGUGUAGCGGUGAAAUGCGUAGAUAUUGGGAGGAACACCGGUGGCGAAGGCGGUUUCCUGGCCGAGUACUGACGCUGAGGCACGAAAGCGUGGGGAGCGAACGGG